UGGGGAAUAUUGCACAAUGGGGGAAACCCUGAUGCAGCCAUGCCGCGUGUGUGAAGAAGGCCUUCGGGUUGUAAAGCACUUUCAGUUGUGAGGAAAGGUUGUUGGUUAAUACCCAACAGCUGUGACGUUAGCAACAGAAGAAGCACCGGCUAACUCCGUGCCAGCAGCCGCGGUAAUACGGAGGGUGCGAGCGUUAAUCGGAAUUACUGGGCGUAAAGCGCACGCAGGCGGUUUGUUAAGCUAGAUGUGAAAGCCCCGGGCUCAACCUGGGAUGGUCAUUUAGAACUGGCAGACUAGAGUUUUGGAGAGGGGAGUGGAAUUCCAGGUGUAGCGGUGAAAUGCGUAGAUAUCUGGAGGAACAUCAGUGGCGAAGGCGACUCUCUGGCCAAAGACUGACGCUCAUGUGCGAAAGUGUGGGUAGCGAACAGG
rnacentral:rRNA from 1 species